rnacentral:rRNA from 1 species
GAACCGGGGGAACUGAAACAUCUAAGUACCCCGAGGAAAAGAAAUCAACCGAGAUUCCCCCAGUAGCGGCGAGCGAACGGGGAGGAGCCCAGAGCCUGAAUCAGUGUGUGUGUUAGUGGAAGCGUCUGGAAAGGCGCGCGAUACAGGGUGACAGCCCCGUACACAAAAAUGCACAUGCUGUGAGCUCGAUGAGUAGGGCGGGACACGUGGUAUCCUGUCUGAAUAUGGGGGGACCAUCCUCCAAGGCUAAAUACUCCUGACUGACCGAUAGUGAACCAGUACCGUGAGGGAAAGGCGAAAAGAACCCCGGCGAGGGGAGUGAAAAAGAACCUGAAACCGUG